GCCUUCGUGGUGUAGUGGUCAGCACGUUCGAUGCGUAACCGAGAGGUCCCUGGUUCGAUUCCCGGCGAAGGCA
rnacentral:tRNA from 1 species